GAUGAAGAACGUAGCGAAAUGCGAUACUUGGUGUGAAUUGCAGAAUCCCGUGAACCAUCGAGUCUUUGAACGCAAGUUGCGCCUCAAGCCAUUAGGUUGAGGACACGUCUGCCUGGGCGUCACAUAUCGUUGCCUGAUGCCAGUUUCCUCGUGAUGGGUGACUGUGCAGGGCGAAUGAUGGCUUCCCGUGAGCAUUGUUGCCUCAUGGUUGGUUGAAAAUUGAGUCCUUGGUAGGGAGCGCCGUGAUAGAUGGUGGUUGAGUGACGAACGAGACCCAAUCAUGUGAGACCCCUACCGAAUUUGGCCUUCAUGACCCACAUGCGUCUUUGGAACGCUCAUGACGAGACCUCAGGUCAGGCGGGGCUACCCGCUGAGUUUAAGCAUAUCAAUAAGCGGAGGA
rnacentral:misc_RNA from 1 species